rnacentral:rRNA from 1 species
AACGCUAGCUACAGGCUUAACACAUGCAAGUCGAGGGGCAUCACAGAGUGGCAACACUUGGGUGGCGACCGGCGCACGGGUGAGUAACACGUAUCCAACCUGUCCCAUACUCGGGGAUAGCCUUUCGAAAGAAAGAUUAAUACCCGAUGGUAUCUAUCUUCGGCAUCGAAGACAGAUUAAAGAAAUUCGGUAUGGGGUGGGGAUGCGUUCCAUUAGAUCGUUGGUAGGGUAACGGCCUACCAAGUCAACGAUGGAUAGGGGUUCUGAGAGGAAGAUCCCCCACAUUGGAACUGAGACACGGUCCAAACUCCUACGGGAGGCAGCAGUGAGGAAUCUUGGUCAAUGGGCGCAAGGCCUGAACCAGCCACGUAGCGUGAAGGAAGACUGCCCUUAGGGUUGUAAACUUCUUUUAUAAGGAAAUAACGUCAGUAACGAGUUACUGAUUGCAUGUACCUUAUGAAUAAGGAUCGGCUAACUCCGUGCCAGCAGCCGCGGUAAUACGGAGGAUCCGAGCGUUAUCCGGAUUUAUUGGGUUUAAAGGGAGCGUAGGCCGGAGAUUAAGCGUGUUGUGAAAUGUAGGCGCUCAACGUCUGCACUGCAGCGCGAACUGGUUUCCUUGAGUACGCACAAAGUGGGCGGAAUUCGUGGUGUAGCGGUGAAAUGCUUAGAUAUCACGAAGAACUCCGAUUG